rnacentral:rRNA from 1 species
AACGAACGCUGGCGGCAUGCCUAACACAUGCAAGUCGAACGAGACCUUCGGGUCUAGUGGCGCACGGGUGCGUAACGCGUGGGAACCUGCCCUUAGGUUCGGAAUAACUCCCCGAAAGGGGUGCUAAUACCGGAUAAUGUCUUCGGACCAAAGAUUUAUCGCCUUUGGAUGGGCCCGCGUCGGAUUAGCUAGUUGGUAGGGUAAAAGCCUACCAAGGCGACGAUCCAUAGCUGGUCUGAGAGGAUGAUCAGCCACACUGGGACUGAGACACGGCCCAGACUCCUACGGGAGGCAGCAGUGGGGAAUAUUGGACAAUGGGCGAAAGCCUGAUCCAGCAAUGCCGCGUGAGUGAUGAAGGCCUUAGGGUUGUAAAGCUCUUUUAACCGGGAUGAUAAUGACAGUACCGGGAGAAUAAGCUCCGGCUAACUCCGUG